UUAUGGUGAGGGAUUUUUGGUAUACAGCAUCCACGGUCUCAUUUACCUCUGUGAAUACACAGAAUAUAUAGUACCUUAGUACUUUAUCUUUCCACAGGAAGUUGAAAAAGGUUGUCCAAUUGGGCCAUGCAGUCUUUUGACUCACGUCAUAAGCAGGUUAUCAGAGAAAGAUAAUGCGGCAGUCAUGAUGUUGAAUUUCAGGCAGCUCAAAGACUGGAUAUAUGUAUGGCCCAGUGCCUGAUUUUUUCUCACAGCAAGUCUGUCAGCUUAAAGUUCUGGUUAUGGAUGGUGUGGUUGUGAAGCUCAAGGAGAAAGAUUCUUGCAUAAAAAAAUCAUAACAAGGUGGUUUUAGUUUAAAACACUUGAAGAACAAAGAACAGUGUACAUUGUAGGCAGGGACUAUAAAACCCUCUUUGAACAUCCAAAUGACUCUAAAGAAAUAGGAAUUUGUGUGGUAUAAAGAACUUUGUGCUUGAAAGUAGUGUGCAGAAAUAGGUUGCCAUCAUCAGCAUCAUCAACACUGGUCUUCCGGGGCUUUAGCCAGGAAUGUUUUUUGACUAGACAGAGGAAAAAAAAUCUAUAAUCCCCAACUUGCACCAUGGCAUGGAUGUACGGCGUGAAAUGCUGCUCCUGCUUCUUGCUGUCAGGCUCACACAGCAGUAACAACACUGCGCCAAAAAGAGAGAAAGACACACAGGAACUUGUUCCUGCACUGCCUGUGACAUGAACACAGAUGAGGUCUCAUGUAAGCGGAGACCUCAACCAGAAAAACAGCACUCUACUGUACCUUUGUCCUGCUGCUGUUUAACAGCUCAGGAAUCUUGAUGCCGAGCUGUAGAGGUAACUGUCUGAGGUUAAAGUCAAUCUCUUGCUCCCAGUGCCAAUAAGCAGGGGAGUACCAUAAACAAAAGGUGCUCUGUGUGUUGACUGAUUGACAGAUAUGCUCCAGAUGUGGAAAUGAUACUCAAGAAAUCCUUCCAGGGGAGGUGGAACUCCAGCAAAGUAGCUGUCCCCUGUCUGAUGGACGGCAGUGUUAGUGUUGUAAUGAACUUCUUCUAAACUAGGAAGAGAAGUACUGCCAGACUGUCUGUCAGUCUUUCGCCCAGCAACUCCAACGGAUUGAAGGAGACAAAGGCGUUGGGCUGAUUUUGUGCAGCCAGGGAGAAAAGCUGGGUGGCUCAGCUUGUGAAAGAUACAGAUGAUGUGAAAGUUUCUUUUGCAUUGUCAAACAAAGCAAUUUUUCACACCUCAUUGCUCAGUAAUUUGAUGAGGUCUGUGUGUGUAGCCUGAAGGGGCUCAGCUGUUUAGAGAGAGUAUUAGCCAUGGAUGUUACAGUGCCAGCAAUGUGUCCCUGACUGGGAGCAAACCUGCCCAACAAGGCCUCCCAUUGGGCCUAUUGUGUUUUUUAACCAGAUGCCUAUCAUAUGGUUUGGUAUGAAUGUGUAACUGUGUCAAUGUGAUCAAGGCUUUCCUGAAAAAGAGAGUAUUGCUCUCAGUGAAAAUUCCCUUGAGUAAAUAAAG